UACGAAGGGUGCAAACGUUGCUCGGAAUCAUUGGGCGUAAAGCGCACGUAGGCGGCUUCGCAAGUCGGAUGUGAAAUCCCUCGGCUCAACCGAGGACGUGCAUCCGAAACUGCGGAGCUUUGAGUACUGAAGAGGAUCGCGGAAUUCCCGGUGUAGAGGUGAAAUUCGUAGAUAUCGGGAGGAACACCAGUGGCGAAGGCGGCGAUCUGGGCAGUUACUGACGCUGAGGUGCGAAAGCGUGGGGAGCAAACAGG
rnacentral:rRNA from 1 species